rnacentral:rRNA from 1 species
GGAUGCGAUCAUACCAGCAAUAAAGCACCGGA